rnacentral:rRNA from 1 species
GUGGGGAAUAUUGGACAAUGGGCGAAAGCCUGAUCCAGCCAUGCCGCGUGUGUGAAGAAGGUCUUCGGAUUGUAAAGCACUUUAAGUUGGGAGGAAGGGCAGUAAGUUAAUACCUUGCUGUUUUGACGUUACCGACAGAAAAAGCACCGGCUAACUUCGUGCCAGCAGCCGCGGUAAUACGAAGGGUGCAAGCGUUAAUCGGAAUUACUGGGCGUAAAGCGCGCGUAGGUGGUUUUGUAAGUUGGAGGUGAAAUCCCCGGGCUCAACCUGGGAACUGCCUCCAAAACUGCAUGACUAGAGUACGGUAGAGGGUAGUGGAAUUUCCUGUGUAGCGGUGAAAUGCGUAGAUAUAGGAAGGAACACCAGUGGCGAAGGCGACUACCUGGACUGAUACUGACACUGAGGUGCGAAAGCGUGGGGAGCAAACAGGAUUAGAUACCCCUGUAGUCC